UUCCCUUCUUCCCGACUUAUGUGAUAUUUCUUUUUAGCUCAUUCUAAAAAGAAUGACACUCUUUUAAAUUUAAAAAUAAUUAACUUUAUACUUUUUAUUUUUCUCACAACGAAAAGCUAUGAUAACCACAUAAAUGACAUGUUUAGAGCCACAAGUUUUACCAGUCUUCAUGUUUUUCUUACUCCAUUCAGAUUCAAAUUGUCACACAAAUUCAAACAGAGCGGGUAGCAGAUUAACUAAUCAUAACAGCGCAUGGCAAGCAUGCCUUGGUGUCUGUGGCACUGUAGGCCGCAAGGAUUUAUCAAAACGGGCUCAGCGGAUACCUUCGCCGAUUAUUUUUUAAUUUAAGCGGUUGGAUGAAUGGUUAUUUGACAUAAUUCUUCUAAGGAAAACUAAGAGAAACUACAGCAAUACAAAGAUAAAGUAGCACAAAAACAGACCCCAAGGCUGGAAGACGAAAGGCAUUAAAUGCAAAUAAAUUGAGUUUUUUGUCCAUUCAAGCCAAAGUACACACAUGAAUGCUGCAACAAUACGAAUCCUUAGAGCACAAAACAAACAAUUUAAAUUCCAAGGGUAGCUGGUAAGCAUGUUUAUCAUGAGGUGACUAGUUUUCAUUUUCAUUUAUAACAGGCAGAAGUAGAAAUGUAUAAAUAUAAUAAUGGAGAAAUUUGUCAAAAAGUUAUCCCUUUUCAUUUUACGCCAUCUCUGUCAUAUAAAGAUGGAAAAUAUGUCAACAACAGGUUAAUCACUUAAGACAUCACUAAUACAUUGGGUCCUCCCAUUUUUCGUCGUCAGAGCUCCAAACUUCCAUUAUACGCAAUCUCUAUCAUAUGAAGAUGGAAAGUAUGUCAGGAAAAGGUUAAGUCAUAUGAAGAUGGAAAGUAUGUCAGGAAAAGGUUAAGUCAUAUGAAGAUGGAAAGUAUGAAGAUGAAAAGCAUGUGUCAAAGUCACCUCAGCAUAACGUCCUAGUGACGGCCAAUAUAUAUGUACCCAAUAUUGGAACAACCUCAUAUCGAAUUUCAGCAGUAGAUAGGUAUUCAAGCUU
rnacentral:lncRNA from 1 species